rnacentral:rRNA from 1 species
CCUACGGGUGGCAGCAGUAGGGAAUAUUGCUCAAUGGGGGAAACCCUGAAGCAGCAACGCCGCGUGGAGGAUGAAGGUUUUCGGAUUGUAAACUCCUUUUGUUAGAGAAGAUAAUGACGGUAUCUAACGAAUAAGCACCGGCUAACUUCGUGCCAGCAGCCGCGGUAAUACGGCGGGUGCAAGCGUUACUCGGAAUCACUGGGCGUAAAGAGCGCGUAGGCGGGAUAGCAAGUCAGAUGUGAAAUCCUAUGGCUUAACCAGAGAAUUGCAUUUGAAACUGUUAUUCUAGAGUAUGGGAGAGGUAGGUGGAAUUCUUGGUGUAGGGGUAAAAUGCGUAGAGAUCAAGAGGAAUACUCAUUGCGAAGGCGACCUGCUAGAACAUAACUGACGCUGAUGCGCGAAAGCGUGGGGAGCAAACAGGAUUAGAUACCCGUGUAGUC